rnacentral:rRNA from 1 species
UAUCUCUGUAGAGUCUGCAUAUCAAUAAGCGGAGGAAAAGAAACUAACUAGGAUUCCCUUAGUAACGGCGAGUGUAGCGGGAAGAGCUCAAAUUUGAAAUCUUCAAGGUUUACCUUGACGAAUUGUAGUUUAAAGAAGUGUUUUCUGUUGGAUGUUUUGGUAAAAGUUCUUUGGAAUAGGACAUCAUAGAGGGUGAGAAUCCCGUAUUUGACCAUUACUUCCAGCGUUGUGAUACACUUUCAAAGAGUCGGAUUGUUUGGGAAUGCAGUCCAAAAUGGGUGGUAAAUUUCAUCUAAAGCUAAAUAUUGGCGAGAGACCGAUAGCGAACAAGUACCGUGAGGGAAAGAUGAAAAGAACUUUGAAAAGAGAGUUAAACAGUACGUGAAAUUGUCAAAAGGGAAGCGUUUGACACCAGUGUUGUUUUCUCGAAAAUCAAUUAAAAAAGGCAGGAUUUUGUGUUGUAUUGACUUUAUCAGCUUUCUGCACUCUUUUCUUGUCUUUUUUAAUGCACUUUUCGUUUAACAAGUCAACAUCAAUUUCUUUUGUUGUAAAAGGGUCAUUGGAAGGUGGCUUUCUUUUCGGAGAAAGUGUUUAUAGCCUUUGGCCUCUGCAAUCGGAGAGAUUGAGGUCUGCAGCGUAGAUCCUUCGGGGUUAGAUACAUUUGUGCUAAGUUAUAGCCUUUCAUAGACAACUUGUUGACUAUGAUCAGUCAUGUAGCUUACUCGCUUAUGCUAUUUUACCUACGCUUAGGAUGUUGACGAUCAGCUGAGCGCG